GCUACGGGUGGCAGCAGUGAGGAAUAUUGGUCAAUGGGCGCGAGCCUGAACCCGCCAAGUCGCGUGAGGGAAGACGGUCCUAUGGAUUGUAAACCUCUUUUGUCGGGGAGCAAAAGACGCCACGCGUGGCGUUCCGAGCGUACCCAACGAAAAAGCAUCGGCUAACUCCGUUCCAGCAGCCGCGGUAAUACGGGGGAUGCGAGCGUUAUCCGGAUUUAUUGGGGUGAAAGGGUGCGCAGGCGGAAGAUCAAGUCAGCGGUAAAAUUGAGAGGCUCAACCUCUUCGAGCCGUUGAAACUGGUUGUCUUGAGUGAGCGAGAAGUAGGCGGAAUGCGUGGUGUAGCGGUGAAAUGCAUAGAUAUCACGCAGAACUCCGAUUGCGAAGGCAGCAUACCGGCGCUCAACUGACGCUCAUGCACGAAAGUGUGGGUAUCGAACAGGAUUAGAUACCCUGGUAGUC
rnacentral:rRNA from 1 species